ensembl:ncRNA F21F12.2 ncRNA
GGUAAGAAAGCACGGUUUAAUGGCUGCCUGCGCAUAUUUUCUGAAUUUUGAACGUCAAGCCUUGUUCAUCCACAGCAUAGUUUUGCAUAGCACA